rnacentral:rRNA from 1 species
GUGCAGCAGGCGCGAAUCUUCGGCAAUGGGGGAAACCCUGACCGAGCGACGCCGCGUGUGGGAUGAAGGCCCUUGGGUUGUAAACCACUGUCAGAGGGGAUGAAAUGCCGGAAAGUUAUCUCUCCGGUUUGACAUAGCCUCAGAGGAAGCACGGGCUAAGUUCGUGCCAGCAGCCGCGGUAAGACGAACUGUGCAAACGUUAUUCGGAAUCACUGGGCUUGAAGAGUGCGUAGGCGGUUUCGUAAGUAGGGUGUGAAAGCCCCCGGCUCAACCGGGGAAUUGCGUCCUAAACUGCGAGGCUGGAGUGAGGUAGGGUGUGUGGAACUUCCAGUGGAGCGGUGAAAUGUGUUGAUAUUGGAAGGAACGCCGGUGGCGAAAGCGACACACUGGACCUUGUCUGACGCUGAGGCACGAAAGCCA